rnacentral:rRNA from 1 species
CUCGUAGUUGGAUUUCUGGCAGGAGCGACCGGUCACACACUCUGUGUGUGAACUUGUGUUGUCUCUGGCCAUCCUUGGGGAGAUCCUGUUUGGCAUUAAGUUGUCGGGCAGGGGAUACCCAUCGUUUACUGUGAAAAAAUUAGAGUGUUUAAAGCAGGCUUAUGCCGUUGAAUAUAUUAGCAUGGAAUAAUAAGAUAGGACUUCGGAACUAUUUUGUUGGUUUGCGUUACGAAGUAAUGAUUAAUAGGGACAGUUGGGGGUAUUCGUAUUUCGUUGUCAGAGGUGAAAUUCUUGGAUUUCCGAAAGACGAACUACUGCGAAAGCAUUUACCAAGGAUGUUUUCAUUAAUCAAGAACGAAAGUUAGGGGAUCGAAGAUGAUUAGAUACCAUCGUAGUCUUAACCAUAAACUAUGCCGACUCGGGAUUGGUGGUUGUUUUUUGACUCCAUCAGCACCGUAUGAGAAAUCAAAGUCUUUGGGUUCCGGGGGGAGUAUGG